rnacentral:rRNA from 1 species
CCUACGGGUGGCAGCAGUGGGGAAUAUUGCACAAUGGGGGGAACCCUGAUGCAGCGACGCCGCGUGAGUGAAGAAGUAUUUCGGUAUGUAAAGCUCUAUCAGCAGGGAAGAAAAUGACGGUACCUGACUAAGAAGCCCCGGCUAACUACGGGCCAGCAGCCGCGGUAAUACGUAGGGGGCAAGCGUUAUCCGGAUUUACUGGGUGGAAAGGGAGCGCAGACGGCGGUGCAAGUCUGGAGUGAAAGGCGGGGGCCCAACCCCCGGACUGCUCUGGAAACUGGAAAGCUGGAGUGCAGGAGAGGUAAGCGGACUUCCUAUUUUAGCGGUGCAAUGCGUAGAUAUUAGGAGGAACACCAGUGGCGACGGCGGCUUACUGGACUGCACCUGACGUUGAGGCUCGAAAGCGUGGGCAGCAAACAGGAUUAGCUACCCUUGUAGUC